UACGGAGGGGGCUAGCGUUGUUCGGAAUUACUGGGCGUAAAGCGCACGUAGGCGGACAGUUUAGUCAGAGGUGAAAGCCCAGGGCUCAACCUUGGAAUUGCCUUUGAUACUGGCUGUCUUGAGUUCGGGAGAGGUGAGUGGAAUGCCGAGUGUAGAGGUGAAAUUCGUAGAUAUUCGGCGGAACACCAGUGGCGAAGGCGACUCACUGGCCCGAUACUGACGCUGAGGCGCAAAAGCGUGGGGAGCAAACAGG
rnacentral:rRNA from 1 species